rnacentral:rRNA from 1 species
GCUCAGAUUGAACGCUGGCGGCAGGCCUAACACAUGCAAGUCGGGCGGCAGCACAGGUACUUGUACCGGGUGGCGAGCGGCGGACGGGUGAGUAAUGCCUAGGAAUCUGCCUGGUAGUGGGGGAUAACGCUCGGAAACGGACGCUAAUACCGCAUACGUCCUACGGGAGAAAGCAGGGGACCUUCGGGCCUUGCGCUAUCAGAUGAGCCUAGGUCGGAUUAGCUAGUUGGUGAGGUAAAGGCUCACCAAGGCGACGAUCCGUAACUGGUCUGAGAGGAUGAUCAGUCACACUGGAACUGAGACACGGUCCAGACUCCUACGGGAGGCAGCAGUGGGGAAUAUUGGACAAUGGGCGAAAGCCUGAUCCAGCCAUGCCGCGUGUGUGAAGAAGGUCUUCGGAUUGUAAAGCACUUUAAGUUGGGAGGAAGGGUCGUUACCUAAUACGUGACGAUUUUGACGUUACCGACAGAAUAAGCACCGGCUAACUCUGUGCCAGCAGCCGCGGUAAUACAGAGGGUGCAAGCGUUAAUCGGAAUUACUGGGCGUAAAGCGCGCGUAGGUGGUUCGUUAAGUUGGAUGUGAAAUCCCCGGGCUCAACCUGGGAACUGCAUCCAAAACUGGCGAGCUAGAGUAGGGCAGAGGGUGGUGGAAUUUCCUGUGUAGCGGUGAAAUGCGUAGAUAUAGGAAGGAACACCAGUGGCGAAGGCGACCNNCCUGGGC